rnacentral:rRNA from 1 species
AGCGAACGCUGGCGGCAGGCUUAACACAUGCAAGUCGAACGGGCGUAGCAAUACGUCAGUGGCAGACGGGUGAGUAACACGUGGGAACGUACCUUUUGGUUCGGAACAACACAGGGAAACUUGUGCUAAUACCGAAUAAGCCCUUACGGGGAAAGAUUUAUCGCCGAAAGAUCGGCCCGCGUCUGAUUAGCUAGUUGGUGAGGUAAUGGCUCACCAAGGCGACGAUCAGUAGCUGGUCUGAGAGGAUGAUCAGCCACACUGGGACUGAGACACGGCCCAGACUCCUACGGGAGGCAGCAGUGGGGAAUAUUGGACAAUGGGCGCAAGCCUGAUCCAGCCAUGCCGCGUGAGUGAAUGAAGGCCCUAGGGUUGUAAAAGCUCUUUUGUGCGGGAAGAUAAAUGACGGUACCGCAAGAAUAAGCCCCGGCUAACUUCGUGCCAGCAGCCCGCGGUAAAUAGUGUGUGUA